GACGUAGGGCGCGAGCGUUGUCCGGAUUUAUUGGGCGUAAAGAGCUCGUAGGCGGCUUGUCGCGUCGACUGUGAAAUCCCGCGGCUCAACUGCGGGUCUGCAGUCGAUACGGGCAGGCUAGAGUUCGGUAGGGGAGACUGGAAUUCCUGGUGUAGCGGUGAAAUGCGCAGAGUAUCAGGAGGAACACCGGUGGCGAAGGCGGAUCUCUGGGCCGUAACUGACGCUGAGGAGCGAAAGCAUGGGUAGCGAACGGG
rnacentral:rRNA from 1 species